AGGGAAUCUUGCGCAAUGGGCGAAAGCCUGACGCAGCAACGCCGCGUGGGGGAUGAAGGCCUUCGGGUUGUAAACCCCUUUCAGCAGGGACGAAAUUGACGGUACCUGCAGAAGAAGCCCCGGCCAACUACGUGCCAGCAGCCGCGGUAACACGUAGGGGGCGAGCGUUGUCCGGAUUUAUUGGGCGUAAAGAGCUCGUAGGCGGCUCGGUAAGUCGGGUGUGAAAACUUAGGGCUCAACCCUGAGACGCCACUCGAUACUGGCGUGGCUAGAGUCCGGUAGGGGAGCGUGGAAUUCCUGGUGUAGCGGUGAAAUGCGCAGAUAUCAGGAGGAACACCAGCGGCGAAGGCGGCGCUCUGGGCCGGUACUGACGCUGAGGAGCGAAAGCGUGGGGAGCAAAC
rnacentral:rRNA from 1 species